CCCUUAGAUGUCCUGGGCCGCACGCGCGUUACACUGAUGCAUUCAACGAGCUUAUAACCUUGGCCGAGAGGCCUGGGCAAUCUUGUUAACGUGCAUCGUGAUAGGGAUAGAUUAUUGAAAUUAUUAAUCUUGAACGAGGAAUUCCUAGUAAACGCAGAUCAUCAAUCUGCAUUGAUUACGUCCCUGCCCUUUGUACACACCGCCCGUCGCACCUACCGAUUGGAUGGUCCGGUGAAGCCUCGGGAUUGUGGUUCUUGCCGCUUUGUUGUGGCGUGACCGCGAGAACUUGUCUAAACCUUAUCAUCUAGAGGAAGGUGAAGCCGUAACA
rnacentral:rRNA from 1 species